rnacentral:rRNA from 1 species
AAUAUUGCACAAUGGGUGGGAGCCUGAUCCAGCCAUCCCGCGUGAAGGACGACUGCCCUAUGGGUUGUAAACUUCUUUUGUACAGGGAUAAACCUAUUUACGUGUAAAUAGCUGAAGGUACUGUACGAAUAAACACCGGCUAACUCCGUGCCAGCAGCCGCGGUAAUAUAAUA